rnacentral:lncRNA from 1 species
GAAAAAUAGCUGCCGCUAUAUAAAAAGGCCAAGUGGUCUCUGGUCUCAAACGAAAGCAAAACGUUGGUUUUUUGGCAAUUAAACAUUCUCUUCAGUCUGUCUCUGUUUCUCAACCCUCAAGCUCCCGAAUAAUUAAAAAUUAAAAAAAGCACCAUCAAAGCUUCUCUGUACUUUCUUUCUCUCUAAAAAAAAAAAAAAAAGAACUUUUUUAGCUCAAAGCUUUGAAUUUGUUCUUCGACUUGGUGAAAAAAAAUUCACAUUUAGUAUAAUUGGAUUUAUGUUUUUCGCAAUUGAUCCUGAGAAUUUUAUUUUGUCAAUGUCGUCCGAUAUAAGCUAGUGUUCUCACUUGCUCUGUUUUUUCAAAGAGCUAUCUUUUUGGGUGGGGGUUUUUGUUUUCGAUUAAAAAAAAAGCUCGUACAACUUUCAUGGCUAAAUGCGUGAAUAAUAAUAACAGGAGUUCCGUCACCGGCUUUGCAAGUUUGAAGCUUUCUUCCGGUCUUGCAAGUUACUGAAAAAAGAGAAUAUAAAAGGUUGUGUGUUAGGGUUUGAAAUUAACAGGUCGUUGAUUCUGAUUGGUUAGGGAUGGGUCGGGGGUGGCUGUUACGGGGAACGAUGGGGCCACCGAUAAAAAAAAAAAAAAAAAGGAACUUUUUUAGCUCAAAGCUUUGAAUUUGUUCUUCGACUUGGUGAAAAAAAAUUCACAUUUAGUAUAAUUGGAUUUAUGUUUUUCGCAAUUGAUCCUGAGAAUUUUAUUUUGUCAAUGUCGUCCGAUAUAAGCUAGUGUUCUCACUUGCUCUGUUUUUUCAAAGAGCUAUCUUUUUGGGUGGGGGUUUUUGUUUUCGAUUAAAAAAAAAGCUCGUACAACUUUCAUGGCUAAAUGCGUGAAUAAUAAUAACAGGAGUUCCGUCACCGGCUUUGCAAGUUUGAAGCUUUCUUCCGGUCUUGCAAGUUACUGAAAAAAGAGAAUAUAAAAGGUUGUGUGUUAGGGUUUGAAAUUAACAGGUCGUUGAUUCUGAUUGGUUAGGGAUGGGUCGGGGGUGGCUGUUACGGGGAACGAUGGGGCCACCGAUAAAGCCGCGGGCGGGGUUAAGGAGAAAGCAAGCUGGAAGAGGCUCUUACAGGGGAAGCUAGGG